rnacentral:rRNA from 1 species
GAUGAACGCUGGCGGCGUGCCUAAUACAUGCAAGUCGAGCGAACAGACGAGGAGCUUGCUCCUCUGACGUUAGCGGCGGACGGGUGAGUAACACGUGGAUAACCUACCUAUAAGACUGGGAUAACUUCGGGAAACCGGAGCUAAUACCGGAUAAUAUAUUGAACCGCAUGGUUCAAUAGUGAAAGACGGUUUUGCUGUCACUUAUAGAUGGAUCCGCGCCGCAUUAGCUAGUUGGUAAGGUAACGGCUUACCAAGGCGACGAUGCGUAGCCGACCUGAGAGGGUGAUCGGCCACACUGGAACUGAGACACGGUCCAGACUCCUACGGGAGGCAGCAGUAGGGAAUCUUCCGCAAUGGGCGAAAGCUUGACGGAGCAACGCCGCGUGAGUGAUGAAGGUCUUCGGAUCGUAAAACUCUGUUAUUAGGGAAGAACACAUGUGUAAGUAACUGUGCACGUCUUGACGGUACCUAAUCAGAAAGCCACGGCUAACCACGUG